CUUGCUAAUUAGUUCUAACACUAGCAAUGGCACUCACUAGGAAUUUGAUUCUCCUCGUUUCUACUACUAUUUGCAUCUUCGCUUCCACUUCCAAAUACGGUAUAUACAUAAAAAAGAGAUUCAAUUCAACCCUUAUUUAAUUUUUAUUUAUAUUUUUUCAGUGCAAAUUAUCAUAAUUUUUCCGACAGGGAGAGCGUACGACGGGGAUCGUCUAGGCGCGGCGGAAGUGAUAGCGGACGACUUCGUGCCGGAAGCGGGAGCCGAGGAAGGAGAGGGAGAAGACGAAGGCCAUGAUCACCCCGAUCAAGUCUUCAUGGAAGCCCUAGAAUGCUUCAACGACAGAAACGUAAGUCCUAAUUAAUUAAUUAACCUCAUAAUCUAAUUGAUGAAAGCAUUAAAUAUUCUUUAAUUUAUUAAACUUAAUAGUAAUAUCUAUAUCUAUAGGUAAGGGAUAAAGUGAAAACUCUAUCUUUCGGUGAAAACUAAAUCCUAUGAACAAACACAUACAUACGUGAACAAGAGAUAGUCAAAUCGUGAACAGGAUUCGACCAUCUCUUGUUCAUGUUUUUUAUGUAUUACAAUUGUUCACAACUUGAUUAUCUCUUGUUCACGUAUUUUAUGUGUUUGUUCAUAGGAUCUAGUUUUCACCGUAAGAUAGAGUUU
rnacentral:lncRNA from 1 species